GAUUCACAAGCUGAGUACUCAAAAAUCUUUUAUUCUUUUCUAUUAUGUUCUUUCUGUUCAGGAUUAAAAGCAUCGGGCUGGAAUCUUCUGGAGGAAUCUUGCACAGAAGUUUCAAAAUUGUGGGGUAAAGACAGUGCAAAGUUCCCAAAAUUUUGACUUCUGUUGACUUUCUUUAAAUAUAAAGGAAACAUGAUGUGAAAUAGUCAAGCUGACUUCCAUUGGAGUUCCUAAAUAUGCAAUUUUGUCAUCUCUGCCAGGAGACAGGGGAGUACAUGGAACUGGGAGACUUGUUAGCUAGAGAAGAUUUGACUAUAUUCCAGUGCAGAGCCAAUUCUGUGCUUCUUCCUAUGGCUGAAGGAUGACACAUUAGCAGAUAGUGCUAUUGGUAUGUGCACAAACCUUGAAAAGCUUUUCCUAAACACAGGAGAGAAGUGGCUCCCAAAGUCAUACCCUAAUGACACAAAAGCACAAAGCCAAGAGAAAAAAAAGUGACACCCCCCCCCCGAAAAUGUAAGUAAUUUUAAGAUACACAGAAAAUUCAAAACUGCUACCCUGUGCAAAAUCCAGUGUCUUCACCUGGAAAACAAGACAUCUGUGGUUACUGACUUUAUUAAGAUUGUACUGCUCAGUCCUGUUUAAAGGAAAGUGGACUUCAGUUUGAAUUAUAUCUUUCACUGAAAUGGAAAGUUCAUCUAAGUCUGCUCAAGUUAUCCCUCAGGUAUGGUUAACUAAUUUGUGCCAGAGAUCAACACAGUUCUAAAUAAUACAAUUUUAUGUAAGAAAUAUAUAAGAAAAGAUGUCCUAUAAAACUGUCAAACCUGGACAAUUCAAAGGACAUGGUAUCAAAAAUGAGGCUGAUGCUCAGCUGGUUGGAAUUCCUGAAUUUAUCUUCAUCUGAACAGUCAAAAGACUUGGCUCCUGGAGAAGCCAUGAUCCUUUUCUAAUUGCUAUGUCUGUGUCAGUAAUCAUAUCAGAGAACCUCCUUGCUAGGAAGGCAGACAGGUGGGAAGAGAUGAGUAAAAAUAUUUUAGAAAUAGCCUAAGAUUUUGAGCCAAUUCUACUUUGCUAAAAU
rnacentral:lncRNA from 1 species